CUUGAAAGUAAUGUUGUGAAGGACACUGGCUAUUUAGGAGACAUCGAAACCUCGCCCAAUGAAUCUUGCGAGAGCGGAAGCUCUGAUUCUGAAGAUAACAUUCCUUGGGCGAUUUCUAAAGGUGAUGAACAAGUUUCUACUGAGACAGGACAAUUUCUAGACAAUUCCAGAGGUGAAGAGGGGAAUUCAUAUACUUGCGAUGGAUUGCCGAAUGGAGAUAUAGUUCAUCGACGUCACGUAGAAAAUGAGGCAAAGUGGAACACGAGGCCUGGAAUAGGGAUUUUAUUCAAUAAAGGGGAGCCUACGUAUAAUUGGUCUAACAGAGAUUUCCUCGAGAAACCAGGAAAAUUCAUCCGA